ACUCAAAUGAAUUGACGGGGGCCCGCACAAGCGGCGGAGCGUGUGGUUUAAUUCGAUGCUACACGAAGAACCUUACCCAGGCUUGACAUGGAGGUGGUAGGGAAGGGAAACCGGACCGACCCGCAAGGGAGCCUUCACAGGUGCUGCAUGGCUGUCGUCAGCUCGUGCCGUGAGGUGUUAGGUUAAGUCCUGUAACGAGCGCAACCCGCGUGGUCAGUUACAUGUGUCUGGCCAGACUGCCGGUUUCAAGCCGGAGGAAGGUGCGGACGACGUCAAGUCAGCAUGGCCUUUAUGCCUGGGGCGACACACACGCUACAAUGGGCAGUACAAAGGGACGCGAACGCGCGAGCGGGAGCCAAUCUCAGAAAGCUGUUCCCAGUUCGGAUUGCAGGCUGCAACCCGCCUGCAUGAAGCCGGAGUCGCUAGUAACCGCGCGUCAGCUAUAGUGCGGUGAAUACGUUCCCGGGCCUUGUACACACCGCCCGU
rnacentral:rRNA from 1 species